rnacentral:lncRNA from 1 species
UAGCCUCUUUGGUACUGGACAUGGAAUUCAUCUGUGCAGUGCCACAUGCUUGAGAGGGAUAUUACAGCCCACUUCUUCAUGAUGCUGGUGUAUACUGAAGGAGACCAGCUGAGACAUCAGCCUCAUUUGGAUGUUUCAUCCAGUCAACUACUGGAUUCUUAGACCUUCUGUUAGCAGACAGCCAUUGUUGAAUUAGCUGGACCAUACCCUAGGACCCGGGUUUGAUUCCCAGCACCCACAUCCAGCAGCUCACAAGCACCUGUAAUUGCAGCUCUAGGGGAUUUAAUACCUUCCUCAGUGCUCUCUGGGCACCUGUACACAUGUGGCACUCAAUCGCUUAUGAGGGCACACAUUGAUUCAUAAAUAAAAUAAAUCUGUUUUUUAAAAAUU